AGGGUUCGAUCAUGGCUCAGGAUAAACGCUGGCGGCGCACAUAAGACAUGCAAGUCGAACGGAAGUCGUUAUAAAAAGGAUUGAAGAUUUAUCUGAUUGAAAUUUUAUAACAAUGGCUUUAGUGGCGGACUGGUGAGUAACGCGUGAGCAACCUGCCUAUUAGAGGGGAAUAACAGUGAGAAAUCAUUGCUAAUACCGCAUAUGCCAUAAACAUCACAUGAUGAAAGUGGGAAAGGAGCAAUCCGCUGAUAGAUGGGCUCGCGUCUGAUUAGAUAGUUGGUGGGGUAAUGGCCUACCAAGUCGACGAUCAGUAGCCGAACUGAGAGGUUGAACGGCCACAUUGGGACUGAGAUACGGCCCAG
rnacentral:rRNA from 1 species